rnacentral:rRNA from 1 species
CCUACGGGGGGCUGCAGUGGGGAAUAUUGGACAAUGGGGGGAACCCUGAUCCAGCCAUGCCGCGUGUGUGAAGAAGGCCCACGGGUUGUAAAGCACUUUCAGUGAGGAAGAACGCCUGGUGGUUAAUACCCAUCAGGAAAGACAUCACUCACAGAAGAAGCACCGGCUAACUCCGUGCCAGCAGCCGCGGUAAUACGGAGGGUGCGAGCGUUAAUCGGAAUUACUGGGCGUAAAGCGCGCGUAGGUGGCUUGAUAAGCCGGUUGUGAAAGCCCCGGGCUCAACCUGGGAACGGCAUCAGGAACUGUCAAGCUAGAGUGCAGGAGAGGAAGGUAGAAUUCCCGGUGUAGCGGUGAAAUGCGUAGAGAUCGGGAGGAAUACCAGUGGCGAAGGCGGCCUUCUGGACUGACACUGACACUGAGGUGCGAAAGCGUGGGUAGCAAACAGGAUUAGAUACCCUGGUAGUC